GACGUAGGGUCCAAGCGUUGUCCGGAUUUACUGGGCGUAAAGAGCGCGUAGGCGGUCUGUUAAGUGUGAAGUGAAAUCUCCAGGGCUCAACCCGGAAACUGCUUCGCAUACUGGCAGACUUGAGGGAUGCAGAGGUUUGUGGAAUUCCUGGUGUAGCGGUGAAAUGCGUUGAUAUCGCUUGGAACGCCGAAGGUGAGAACAGGCUGCUGGGGUUGCGCCGACGCUGAGACACGAAAGCCAGGGGAGCAAACGGG
rnacentral:rRNA from 1 species